UACGUAGGGUGCAAGCGUUGUUCGGAAUCAUUGGGCGUAAAGCGCGUGUAGGUUGUCUAAUAAGUCGGGUGUGAAAUCCCUCGGCUCAACCGAGGAAGUGCAUUCGAAACUAUUAGACUAGAAGAUGGUAGAGGAAGGUGGAAUUCCAAGUGUAGAGGUGAAAUUCGUAGAUAUUUGGAGGAAUACCGGUGGCGAAGGCGGCCUUCUGGACCAUUCUUGACACUGAGACGCGAAAGCGUGGGUAGCAAACAGG
rnacentral:rRNA from 1 species